rnacentral:RNase_P_RNA from 1 species
UGCAAUUACUGAUGCUAUCGCUUCUUUUUUAGAAGAGGAAAGUCCGGACACCACAGAGCAGCAUAGCGGAUAACAUCCGUCCAUCCUUUUGGGUGAGGACCAGUGCAACAGAAAGCAAGUACAGUUCGGCUGUAGUGAAAUCAGGCAAACUCUAUGUGGUGCAAUGCCAUGUAUAUCAGGAUUCUUGGGUUGCUCGCCCAAUCUUGAGGGGUAGGCAGUUAGAGGUUAAAGGCAACUUUAAUCCUAGAUAAAUGAUAGUACCUUUUGGAACAGAAUCCGGCUUAUGUGUAAUUGUAAGCA